GGGUUCCGCCGCGGGGCUGCGAGCGCGCGCGGGCCAGUUCGGGCCGGGGGCGGGAACCGGCUCGGAUGCUCAGGGACGGUGGGGGUGGCAGGGCCCACCGGCUUGAGGCUGCCUUUCCCGGCGUUCCCUCGUUUAUUGGCUCACUCUUCCUUUCAUCCAUCCAUCCUUUGCGCAACAAUAUUUGAUGGGAAGCCUGCCAAGGAAUUAAAUUUUGUUCAGACAUCCACUCUUCACCUUCCCAGCCCCUGUUUGCCUGUAACUACAAAGCAGUUUUCAGAUUACUCCAUUUGAUUCUCACAAGAACAUCGUAAAUGGAAAAGACUAGAAUUGCCCUGAGUUCACAGAUUGGUCAUCGAGGUCAAAGAAAUCAAGUGACUUCUGGAGGCCACACAGCUAAUAAACAGCAAGGCAAUGACUUGAACCCAGGUCUUCUGGUUCCAGGGAGAAAGACACAUGGGCAGGAGAAUACCACAUGGAGACACAGACACACGAGGGGAGGAUGCCUGCUGACCAU
rnacentral:lncRNA from 10 species